AGAGGAGCGAAUCCCACGGAGGUCUGGGGGAAACAGCAGGUGAGCAGUGAGUGCAAAGACCCCAGGCAGGAGUUGGCUGUCGGGGAGAGACAGAUUUCCUCCUUGUGCACAGAGAGGCUGUAGGAGGUCCCCAGGCACAGCAGGGCACAGCUGUCUUGUGGAUGCUGGCCCCAUGCCCUCCCCACCUGAGUAUAGACAACACCAGCCACUGGGGUGACAUGGUGCAAAGUGAAACCACACCCAUUCAGCCAUUUGCUUCUGCACUCUCGUAUACCCUGGGGGUCAUGGUGGGAGAAGCUGCCUGGUGCCCCAGGGAGAACCUUUGGGACAACCAGGUGACAUAUCUGCUCUCCUGUCCCUUCUGCUUAGAAGAGGCCGACAGGAUAAUGGAUUUGAGUCUACACGUGGACCUCAGCGUGGGGAUUUUUUGAGCUCAAAGUCAAUGGUGCAUUAAUUAAGGGGAGCAGCUGCUACCCAAGUCUUAUGAUAAAUCAGUGACAAAUGGCUGUGUUUACCUUCUUGGUGAGCAGAGCCUCUGGAAGGCAGCACAGAGCUCCUGGGUGGAUUGGCAUGCUGAGGACUGUGGGUACAGUCUCCCUCCGGGUGGAUGUCCACGCUGAGGACUGUGGGUACAGUCUCCCUCCGGGUGGAUGUCCAUGCUGAGGACUGUGGGUACAGUCUCCCUCCGGGUGGAUGUCCACGCUGAGGACUGCGGGUACAGUCUCCCUCCGGGUGGAUGUCCACGCUGAGGACUGUGGGUACAGUCUCCCUCCGGGUGGGUGUCCACGCUGAGGACUGCGGGUACAGUCUCCCUCCGGGUGGAUGUCCACGCUGAGGACUGCGGGUACAGUCUCCCUCCGGGUGGAUGUCCACGCUGAGGACUGCGGGUACAGUCUCCCUCCGGGUGGAUUGGCAUGCUGAGGACUGUGGGUACAGUCUCCCUCCGGGUGGAUGUCCAUGCUGAGGUCUGCGGGUACAGUCUCCCUCAUCCUUUUGACACAUCUUCAGUGUUGCCCGGGUCCCCAGGAGAGCUGUUCAUCACUAAGGAUAGCUAGGUCAGUCAGCAGCCUGGGGCUUUGGACGGAGCUACAGAAACACCAGGGGCUGUGUAGCUCAGGUGGUAGAAUGCUGGCCUGACAUGCACAAAGCUCUCCCAUCAGCCCCCAGCACUGUAAACACAGUGUGCACAGAGGAUCUCAGCACUUGAAGGUAGAAGGGGAGGAUGAGAAGUUCAAGGUCAGCCCGGGCUACCAGAGACGUCUCAAAACAAC
rnacentral:lncRNA from 1 species